rnacentral:Y_RNA from 1 species
GGUUGGUCUGAGUGAAAUGGUGUUUACAACUAAUUGAUCACAAUCAGUUACAGAUUCCUUUGUUCCUUCUUCACUCCCACUGCUUCACUUGACUAUAAA